UGAAUACGAGAUGCUACGGCGUCGAAGCAGUCUAUGUCAUACUUCCAAGAAAAGCUCGCACUGUCAUAAACAAAUAAUGCCUGUACCAUAACCGACACAGGUGGGUAGGUAGAGUAUACUAAGGGGCGCGAGAUAACUCUCUCUAAGGAACUCGGCAAAAUGACUCCGUAACUUCGGGAGAAGGAGUGCCUUAUUUAUAAGGUUGCAAUAACAAGAUCCAAGCAACUGUUUAUCAAAAACACAGGUCUCCGCUAAGUCGUAAGACGAUGUAUGGGGGCUGACGCCUGCCCAGUGCCAGAAGGUUAAAGAAGUUGGUUAGCAUUCGCGAAGCUGAUAACUGAAGCCCUGGUGAACGGCGGCCGUAACAAUAACGGUCCUAAGGUAGCGAAAUUCCUUGUCGGGUAAGUUCCGACCCGCACGAAAGGCGUAAUGAUUUGGAUACUGUCUCGGAGAGGGGCUCGGUGAAAUAGACUUGUCUGUGAAGAUGCGGACUACCUGCACCAGGACAGAAAGACCCUAUGAAGCUUUACUGUAACUUGGGAUUGAAAUUGGACUUUACUUGCGCAGUAUAGGUGGGAGGCGUUGAUAAUAUUCUUGCGGGAUUAUUUGAGCCAUCAGUGAGAUACCACUCUUGUAAUGUUAGAUUUCUAACUUUGUAUCAUUAUCUGGUCAAAGGACAGUUUCAGGCGGGCAGUUUGACUGGGGCGGUCGCCUCCUAAACGGUAACGGAGGCGCACAAAGGUUUCCUCUGAACGGGUAGAAAUCGUAUCUAGAGUGUAAAGGCAUAAGGAAGCUUGACUGUGAGACCUACAAGUCGAGCAGGGACGAAAGUCGGUCUUAGUGAUCUGACGGUGCUGAGUGGAAAGGCCGUCACUCAACGGAUAAAAGUUACUCUAAGGAUAACAGGCUGAUCUCCCCCAAGAGUUCACAUCGACGGGGAGGUUUGGCACCUCGAUGUCUGCUCAUCGCAUCCUGGGGCGGUAGUACGUCCCAAGGGUUGGGCUGUUCGCCCAUGAAAGCGGUACGCGAGCUGGGUUCAGAACGUCGUGAGACAGUUCGGUCCAUAUCCGGUGUAGGCGUUAGAAUAUUGAGAGGAGCCUUCUUUAGUACGAGAGGACCGAGAAGGACAUACCUCUGGUGUACCAGUUAUCGUGCCAACGGUAAACGCUGGGUAGCUAUGUAUGGAGUGGAUAACCGCUGAAAGCAUCUAAGUGGGAAGCCCACCUCAAGAUAAGUAUUCUC
rnacentral:rRNA from 1 species